rnacentral:rRNA from 1 species
UGGGGAAUCUUAGACAAUGGGGGAAACCCUGAUCUAGCCAUGCCGCGUGAGCGAUGAAGGCCUUAGGGUUGUAAAGCUCUUUCAGCUGGGAAGAUAAUGACGGUACCAGCAGAAGAAGCCCCGGCUAACUCCGUGCCAGCAGCCGCGGUAAUACGGAGGGGGCUAGCGUUGUUCGGAAUUACUGGGCGUAAAGCGCACGUAGGCGGAUCGGAAAGUUGGGGGUGAAAUCCCGGGGCUCAACCCCGGAACU